GUAGUCCACGCCCUAAACGAUGAGUACUAAACGUUGGGUAAAACCAGUGUUGAAGUUAACACAUUAAGUACUCCGCCUGAGUAGUACGUACGCAAGUAUGAAACUUAAAGGAAUUGACGGGACUCCGCACAAGCGGUGGAUCAUGUUGUUUAAUUCGAAGGUACCCGAAAAACCUCACCAGGUCUUGACAUGCUUUUGCAAAGCUGUAGAAAUACAGUGGAGGUUAUCAAUUGCACAGGUGGUGCAUGGUUGUCGUCAGCUCGUGUCGUGAGAUGUUGGGUUAAGUCCCGCAACGAGCGCAACCCUUGUUGUUAAUUGCCAGCAUGUAAUGAUGGGGACUUUAGCAAGACUGCCAGUGAUAAAUUGGAGGAAGGUGGGGACGACGUCAAAUCAUCAUGCCCCUUAUGACCUGGGCUACAAACGUGAUACAAUGGCUGUUACAAAGGGUAGCUAAAGCGCAAGCUUUUGGCGAAUCUCAAAAAAGCAGUCUCAGUUCGGAUUGAAGUCUGCAACUCGACUUCAUGAAGUUGGAAUCGCUAGUAAUCGCGAAUCAGCAUGUCGCGGUGAAUACGUUCUCGGGGUUUGUACACACCGCCCGUCAAACCACGAAAGUUGGCAAUACCCAAAACCGGUGGCCUAACUUGAGCAAUCAAGAGGGAGCCGUCUAAGGUAGGGUUGAUGAUUGGGGUU
rnacentral:rRNA from 1 species